rnacentral:rRNA from 1 species
ACGAACGCUGGCGGCAUGCCUAACACAUGCAAGUCGAACGAGACCUUCGGGUCUAGUGGCGCACGGGUGCGUAACGCGUGGGAAUCUGCCCUUGGGUUCGGGAUAACAGUUGGAAACGACUGCUAAUACCGGAUGAUGACUUCGGUCCAAAGAUUUAUCGCCCAGGGAUGAGCCCGCGUAGGAUUAGCUAGUUGGUGAGGUAAAGGCUCACCAAGGCGACGAUCCUUAGCUGGUCUGAGAGGAUGAUCAGCCACACUGGGACUGAGACACGGCCCAGACUCCUACGGGAGGCAGCAGUGGGGAAUAUUGGACAAUGGGCGAAAGCCUGAUCCAGCCAUGCCGCGUGAGUGAUGAAGGCCCUAGGGUUGUAAAGCUCUUUCAACGGUGAAGAUAAUGACGGUAACCGUAGAAGAAGCCCCGGCUACCUUCGU